CACGGGGGGAGCAAGCGUUGUUCGGAAUCACUGGGCGUAAAGGGCGUGUAGGCGGUCAAGUAAGUGGAAUGUGAAACGCCUCGGCUUACCCGAGGACCUGCAUCCCAAACUGCUUGGCUUGAGUAUGGGAGAGGAUGAGGGAAUUCCUGGUGUAGCGGUGAAAUGCGUAGAUAUCAGGAGGAACACCAGUGGCGAAAGCGCUCAUCUGGCCCAAUACUGACGCUGAGGCGCGAAAGCUAGGGGAGCAAACGGG
rnacentral:rRNA from 1 species